rnacentral:rRNA from 1 species
AAGCUCGUAGUUGAAUUUCGGAUCUGGCAGGGCGGUCUGCUUAACGGCAUGUACUGUCUGGCUGGGUCUUACCUCUUGGUGAGCCGGUGUGCCCUUUAUUGGCGUGCAUCGGGGAACCAGGACUUUUACCUUGAGAAAAUUAGAGUGUUCAAAGCAGGCCUAUGCCCGAAUACAUUAGCAUGGAAUAAUAAAAUAGGACGUGCGGUUCUAUUUCGUUGGUUUCUAGAGUCGCCGUAAUGAUUAAUAGGGAUAGUUGGG